CAUUCAUUCAAGUUCCAAACAUUACAAAAUCACAUAAAUACAAGUUCGAUUACUUUUACAUCCUUUGACACUUACAUUACAUCAACAAAAAGGAUUACAAAUUUCAUAAAAAUACUAUCCCAAACCUAUGCCAUUCAUUUUCAAUCUUCAUGCUAUUUUAUCUUCAAUCCUGGUUCACUUCUCAAACUUCUAAAAAUGAACAUGCCCUGA